rnacentral:rRNA from 1 species
AUACAGAGGGUGCGAGCGUUAAUCGGAAUUACUGGGCGUAAAGCGCGCGUAAGCGGCUUAUUAAGUCAGAUGUGAAAUCCCCGGGCUCAACCUGGGAACUGCAUCUGAUACUGGUAAGCUAGAGUUUUGGAGAGGGAAGUAGAAUUUCAGGUGUAGCGGUGAAAUGCAUAGAGAUCUGAAGGAAUACCAGUGGCGAAGGCGACUUCCUGGCCAAAAACUGACGCUGAGGUGCGAAAGCGUGGGUAGCAAACGGGAUUAGAAACCCCAGUAGUCC